rnacentral:rRNA from 1 species
AUUGAACGCUGGCGGCGUGCUUUACACAUGCAAGUCGAACGGCAGCAUUGCUUUCGGGCAGAUGGCGAGUGGCGAACGGGUGAGUAAUACAUCGGAACAUGCCAAGAAGUUUGGGAUAACUCAUCGAAAGAUGAGCUAAUACCGGAUAUACUCUGAGGAGGAAAGCUGGGGACUAGAAAUGGCCUGGUGCUUUUUGAUUGGCCGAUGGACGAUUAGCUAGUUGGUUGGGUAAAGGCUAACCAAGGCAAUGAUCGAUAGCUGUUCUGAGAGGAAGAUCAGCCACACUGGGACUGAGACACGGCCCAGACUCCUACGGGAGGCAGCAGUGGGGAAUUUUGGACAAUGGGGGCAACCCUGAUUCAGCAACGCCGCGUGAAUGAAGAAGGCCUUCGGGUUGUAAAGUUCUUUUAUUUGGGGGCAAAGGCAUUGUGUUAAUAGCAUGAUGUUAUGAGAGUACCGAAUGAAUAAGCACCUGCUAACUACGUGCCAGCAGCCGCCGUAA